CGAGGUGUAGCGCAGUUGGUAGCGCGCCUGCUUUGGGAGCAGGAUGCCGGGGGUUCAAGUCCUCUCACCUCGACCA
rnacentral:tRNA from 1 species